rnacentral:rRNA from 1 species
UUGAACGCUGGCGGCAUGCCUAACACAUGCAAGUCGAACGGUAACGGACCGCUGGGAUUCCUUCGGGAUGACCUUGGUGCCGACGAGUGGCGGACGGGUGAGUAAUACUUAGGAAUCUACCCAGUAGUGGGGGACAACUCGAGGAAACUCGAGCUAAUACCGCAUACGCCCUACGGGGGAAAGCGGGGGAUCUUCGGACCUCGCGCUAUUGGAUGAGCCUAAGUCGGAUUAGCUUGUUGGUGAGGUAAUGGCUCACCAAGGCGACGAUCCGUAGCUGGUCUGAGAGGACGAUCAGCCACACUGGGACUGAGACACGGCCCAGACUCCUACGGGAGGCAGCAGUGGGGAAUAUUGGACAAUGGGCGCAAGCCUGAUCCAGCAAUGCCGCGUGUGUGAAGAAGGCCUGCGGGUUGUAAAGCACUUUCAGUAGAGAAGAAAAGCCUAGGGUUAAUACCCCUGAGUCUUGACGUAACCUACAGAAGAAGCACCGGCUAACUCCGUG